AUCCCCCUCCCCCUCCGGCGACCCUUCUCCGGCGACUCCCUAAGUAAGUUCUGUCUCUUCUGUCUCUCUCCUCUCUCUCUCUCCUCUAUCUCCACUACCCCAGUCCCUCACCCCCUACCCUCCCUGCCAACACUAACUCCGGCGACCCCCAGUAAGGUACCUCUUUCCUCUCUCUCCUCUCUCCACACAUUCUCUUCUCUAUUCCCCCUUCUCUCACGCCAUUGCCCCCUACCCCAC
rnacentral:lncRNA from 1 species